AGCCAAUUCUCGAAAUUGUUGGUUUUGUUCAUCGUUUAGCUGACCUUCUUCUUAGUCCUUUUUGGACUUUUGAGGAUCCUGAAUGUCUCCCAGUGGCCAGUGACCGCAUCUUGCACACUUCUCCUUACUUUCUGCGAGGGUAAUUCACUAUUCUCACUCUUUUCUUUCCUUUUUUUUUUUUGGGUUGUGGAGAAAAUAAUAUAAUAGGGUUGUCUAUUCUAUUUGGCUUUUAAUUUGUCUAAUUUUACAGUAAUCACUGACUGUUAUUUCCAGGUGAAAGACUAUUCAACAGAAGAGGACUUAUAAGUCAAGAUGUUUGCGGAAAAAGUCUGCUCUGCAGUUGUGACUUGAGACUCCACUUUGGAAGUCCCACUCCAGUGCCUAACGAAGGUUCCGCACUCAAAAACUCAAUCAAAAGUAGUAGUGUUAGCGGAAGCAAAUCACAGAGACCACCGCCCAAAAAUUAUAAACUUUACCUGCAGCCUCCGUGCCAACUUACAACUUACGCAGACUAAUUGCAUUAUGGGCAGUGGGAACCUCUGGACUGGAAGAAACCCUGCCUGAAAAGUCCAACCCCAUGACUUGACCCAAUCCCCCGCACCCCAAAGGUUGCCUAACCAUACAUUGUACAAUGCGAACCACCCCCAGCUUUAGCUCUGUGAUUACCAGAAAGGAAUUACAUCCCUUUUUGAACUGCAGAUCAAGGUUUGAAUCCUACUUAUGGUUAAAAAAAUUUCGGUAUCAUUUAAAACUUUGGUCUAGCCCGAUCUAUAUAGUCCCUGAUACAGCAAUUUUUUUAGACUUUCCUUACUACCUGUAGAUAGUUUCUUUAAAAAAAGCUUUUCCUUCCCUGUAGAUAAUUUCUUUAAACUUCCUCUUCUUGUAAAACAAAAUAGAUUGCGUUAUUGGAAUCCUUCUUUAAAUUUUCCCUUUUUUAGAAUAAAACAGAUUAAAUUAUAGGAAUGUUAUUGUAGCCAAAAAAAAAAAAAAAGAGACAAAAUAUACAUUGUAUAAUGCAGAUUACUCGCUCCACAAGCAAUUCACCGUUACAAGGUA
rnacentral:lncRNA from 1 species